AUUGAACGCUGGCUGCAGUCCUAACACAUGCAAGUCGAGCGAGCGGCGGACGGGUGAGUAAUGCCUGGGAAUUGCCCAGUCGAGGGGGAUAACAGUUGGAAACGACUGCUAAUACCGCAUACGCUUGGCUUGCCCAGGUGUGAUUAGCUCGUUGGUGAGGUAAUGGCUCCCCAAGGCGACGAUCCCUAGCUGGUCUGAGAGGCUGAUCAGGCACAGCGGAACGGAGACACGGUCCAGACUCCUACGGGAGGCAGCAGUGGGGAAUAUUGCAGAAUGGGGGAAACCCUGAAGCAGCAAUGCGGCGUGUGUGAAGAGGGCCUUCGGGUUGUAAAAAACUUUCAGCGAGGAGGCGUUACUCGAAGAAGAAGGACCGGCUAACUCCGAGCCAGCAGCCGCGGUAAUUC
rnacentral:rRNA from 1 species